rnacentral:rRNA from 1 species
UACGUAGGGGGCGAGCGUUAUCCGGAUUUACUGGGUGUAAAGGGAGCGUAGACGGCGUAUCAAGUCUGAUGUGAAAGGCAGGGGCUUAACCCUUGGACUGCAUUGGAAACUGGUAUGCUUGAGUGCCGGAGGGGUAAGCGGAAUUCCUAGUGUAGCGGUGAAAUGCGUAGAUAUUAGGAGGAACACCAGUGGCGAAGGCGGCUUACUGGACGGUAACUGACGUUGAGGCUCGAAAGCGUGGGGAGCAAACAGG